GCAGCAUUCGCAGAGGACUUGGCAUGCAAAGGAAGAAAAGUGGAGCUCCUGGCAGGACGCCAGCUGUUCUCCCUCUCACUGACUUGCCCUCUCAGUUUGCCGCGGAGAAAAGAACGUGCUUCCCCUACAGUCUACUAGCACUCAUCUGCUAUCUCCCUACCCUUCCCCCUCUCCUGGAGUGCACAGCCUGACUCAUUAGUCACGGGCCAGGGCCGGAUGUGCUGCAAAAGGGCUGUUGAUAAAGAAUGAACUAAAUCUACACUGAACUUCACCAUAAAGACUACGCUUCUUGCAAGAGCACAUGGGUAUCUCCUGUUCUGCAGCACACUGUUAGCUGCUGGAGAGCUUACUGUAACUGAAAAGUAUACCUGAGACAUGAAACACAUACAGAUUUUCUCAAAGAAGUUUUACGUCGUCAUGUUCCUCAUUCGUAUGACUUAACAAAAGAGACAGAGAGUCUCUAUGCACUCAAAUCCCUGAACUAUGCACACAAAUUCCUGAACCCCAAUGGGAUGCACCCACGAGUGCUCAGGGAGCUGAAAGAAGUGAUUGCAAAACUGCUCUCAUUUUUAAAGAUCAUGGAGAAUUGGAGGGGUGACUGAAGACUGGAGGAAAACCAAUGUCACUCCAGUCUUCAAAAAAGUGAAGGAGGAAUGAGGAAUCUACAGGCCAGUUAACCUCAACAUUAUCCCCGGGGAGAUGAUAGAACAGCUUAUUUUGAAUGUCAUCUCCAAGCAAGUGGAAGAAAAUAAGCUUACCAGGAGCAGUCAACAUGGAUUCACCAAAGGGAAAUCAUGCUUGACAAAUAUGGUAGCCUUCUAUGAUGUCAUGACUCACUGGGUAGAUGAGGGAAAAGCAGUGGAUAUUCAGCAAGUUUUUUUGUUUUGUUUUGUUUUUGUUUCUGUUUUUCAUAGAAGCAUAGAACAUCUUGAGUUAGAAAGGACCCGUAAGAAUUGUCAAGUCCAAGUCUGGGCUCCUCACAGAACCACCCAGAACUCAGACCAUAUGAUGCAUCUGGAACUCUGUCAGCUUGAGGCUGUGACCACUUCCAUGGGGAGCCUGUUUUUUAUCGGUGUCCUCGUACCAAUUCCUGUGACCUGAUAUCCAUGCCCUAGUAGCAGCAUGGAAUUUCAUAUGAUUAAGUAUAGUUUUAGAGUAAGUUUCAUGAACUUCUGAAAAUUGAUUCUGCUGAGAUUUAGAUAACAACAGUAAGCUUAUCUGGGAGGGGUGCAGUCUUCCUCUUCCAUGCUCUCAUAGUAUCUGGAAUAUGACACUGCUUCCAACAAUAUCCUCAUAGGUAAAUUUAGGAAGUGUGGGAUAGAUGAGUGGACAGUAAAGUGCACUGAGAUCAGUAAAGCUCUGAGUGUUGCAAUCAGUGCCCCAGAGCCUAGAUGGAGGCCUGUAGCUAGCAGUGUUUCCCAGGGGUUGGCACUGGGUCCAGUCUUGCAUAAUAGCUUCAUCAGAUGCCUGUCUGAAGGUAGAGAGUGCACCCUCAGCAAGUUAACUGAUCAUACAAAGCUGGGAGGAAUGGCACCUCCAGACAGGUGGCUGUUCAGUGAGACCUGAACAGCCCAGAGGGUUGGAUAGAGAGGAAGCUUAUGAGGUUCAACAAGAUCAAGUGUAGAGUCUUGCAUCUGGGGAGGAGUCAUUUCAUGAGUCUGUAAAGGUUAGAGGAUGGCCUGCUGGAAAGGAGCUCUGCAGAGAAGGACCUCGAUUCUUGUGGGCAACAGGUUUGCCAUGAGCCAGCAAUGCACCCUUGUGGCCAAGAAGGCCAAUAGUAUCCUGAGGUACAUUAAAGAGAACACGGCCAGCAGGUUGAGGCAUAUUCUCCAUCUGACCUAUUCUCUCCUUGCAAAGCCACAUCUGGAGUUGUGUGACAAGAUGUGGGCUCCUCAGUUCAAUAAAAACAUGGAACUUCUAGAGAGAAUCCAGCUGAGGGCCACAAAGAUGAUUAGGUGCCUGGAGCAUCUCCUUUAUAAGUAAAGGCUGAGAAACCUUUGAUUGUUCUGCCUGGGGGAGAGAAGAGUGAUGAGGGAUCUUAUCAAUGCUUAUAAAUAUCUAAGGGAUGGGUGUCAGAACAGUGUGGUCAGCUGCUUUUUGGUGGUUCCCAGAGACAGAAUAAAGGGCAGUGGGUACAAACUGCAACAGAGGAAGUUCCAAAUGAACUUCUUUACUUUGGAGGCUACAGAGAACUGGAAGAAGCUGCCCAAAGGAGUUGUGGAGUCCUUUUCUCUGGAGAUAUGCAAAACCCCCCUGGACACUUUCUUCUGCAACCUACUGUAGAGAACCUGCUUUAGCCAGGGGAUUGGACUAGACGUUCUCCAGAGGUCCCUUCCAAUCCCUAUGAUUCUCUGGUUCUGUGUUAGAUUCACCUUUAUCAGAUGUGUAUCACCAGUUUGAUGAUCUCUCAAACAAAAUCUGUCAAAUGACAACAUAAUUUACAGUGAUAACAUAUGAAAUACCUUGUGACCUCAAUUGGUUUUCUUUGACUAUAAGUUUAACUAGAAUUCAAAUAAACCACCAGGAAACUCUCGUAUCUUUUUAGAGAUUUACCUAUUGCAAAAAAAAAAAAAUGACCUCCUGCUCAACUGUUCUGAUAUAUGCAUAUUAGAGAGUGUCUUUAAGAUAUUUUGAAGACUAAAAAUAUGUAUAUUUACUGUAGAGUUUUUGUAUAUCUUUUUGUUAUUAUCAAAACAAUAAAAAAAUACACAUUCCCAUUUCCAGGUACAAUUUAGAAUAUAAAGCAAGAAAGAAACUAUGUAUUUGAGGAAAUUAAGUGUUAUACAGUACAGAAUCUGGUACAGAAUUGGCACUCUGCAGAAGUCAAGAAUAAUCUCAAAACAUCACAAAAAAAAAAAGAAAAGAAAAAAGAAAAAUAAUAUUUACAAAGUUUUUUGUUUACAGUUUUGCAGUUUAACUUGCGUGCUAAGAAGUAUCGAAUCUAUAGAAAAAAAACGUUUUUACUCUGACCUCUUUCUACAUUGUUUCUGGCUUGUUUGCUUUGUUUAUUUAAAGCACAUCAUACAGACAGCUGAAAGUAGAUCAGUAAACUGUGAAAUGUCUCUGACAGUAUAGUAGGAAGUUCAUUUGAUGUAAUAAGUUGGAGUUGAAAGGUGGUUUUAUAUUUUUUCCUGAAUAUGAACAACUAUUGCCAGUUGCAACUAUUGAGCAUAUGGCUAACCAUUUUUUAUGAAUUUAAUAUCUUUGAUCUGAGAAUAUAUUUCAUCUACAAGAGAAGAAAUCAGACAUAAACAUUAGCUGCAGAAAAAAAUGUGACAGCUUGGUUUAGGGUGGUAAAUAGAAAUUUAUUCUCACACACACACACACACACACACAAAAGAUAAAUAUAAAGCAAGAUGUGCAUCUCUCAAUAAUUUCUUAAGGAAGAAAACACCAUUCCAGUGAUAAAUGAAGUCUUGCUUGCUUAACUGUUGAAUACUAUCAGUUUGUAAAACAGAGAUAGGUAGUGAAGUCUGUGUACAAGACAUUCCUGAAAGCAUUGUUAUUUUACUCUGAACUAUAAAUGUUAAAGUCUUAAUUAAAGAGCUAUGAAAAAGGUGUGAUAUGCUGAAUUAGUUGAUGAAUUGCUUGUUUGAUUAAAGUAUAAUUAAACAGAUUUGUUUUUAUUUCAUAUUCCAUAAAUGAUAAAUGACUCUCAAACUAGUUCCAUAAUUAAGAUACACAUAUAGUAAGUGAAGAGAUUAAUGUUUAAUUAACUAAGGUCUUAACUAUAAUACUUGAGGCGAUAUUCAUUAAGGAAAAUCUACAGUAGUUAUGCUGGGCUGACAGUUUUUUUUUUUUAUGGAGCUUUUGUAUCAAAGAUAUUGUGUAUGAAGAACUAGGAUAAUUUCUGGAACAGCCACAGGGCUUUUUCUUCAAAGAGGUCAUUCAUAGGUAUAGAUUUUUACUUUUUAUAAAUUAUACAUCUGUGCUGAUGAAAAUUUACUGAUUCUAACACUGGGUACCUUAGAUAGCUCCUUGAUCAAAUUAAUCUUGACCAUGAUUAUAUAACUGAAAUAAGAUAAUAUUGAAUUCACUUUUUUUUUUGAGUAAAGGUGAAGAAAUGAUAAAUUCAGUAAGAAUUUUGAAAUUUGGUUUCAUCGUGGUUCAAAAUGAAACCUAAGCAUCAUUCUCUACAAAAGUAAUUUUUUUUUUUGUUGUACUGUAUGGAAACUGUUGAAUCACAGCUUGAACCACUGAUUGACCACCUGAGGCGAGCACUGAGUCAGCUGCAGGGGCACAGAUGAACACAAUUUCACCUGAGUCACCGGAAGGGGUCAGUUGGAUUUUAUUUAUUUAUUUAUUUAUUUAUUUUACAAUUCUGAAAAUUGAAAAUAAAAUAUUUUGAUGUCACAUCUUGUAUGAAGUUAUUCCUAAAAUGCUAUUCCUAAAACAAACAAAAAACAAACUCAUUUCAUUCAAUAACUUAGCUAUAUUUUAUGAAAAGAAUGGGCAGUAUAUUAAAGAAGAAAGUUUACACCACUCUUUGUGAAAAGGAGUAAAAUAUGCUGUAUUAAAGAGUAGAUUUCAGAAUUUAAUUUUUCCUACCACUAAUGAAUUUAACUUUUAAAAGCCUCUUAUUAAAAAAAAAAAUCUAUUUCUUUCCAACAGUACUUACAUACUCUGUCCAUCAUUUUCAUAAGAACUUGAGAUAUUUUAAAGACGUUAGUAGAAAUAAAUGACAAUUCAUUACGAUAUAAAACAUAUGCUCUGAAAAAUUCUACCUUCCAUUCUCCUAUAUGGAAGUAGUGUUACAGUAAAUCAGAAAAGCUCAAACAUUUUUGGUAAAAUGAUGACAGAUAAGGAAAUUCUAAACAUUUUUUGAGGUUUGUUUUGGUUAUAAAUUUUUUCCUGAUGAAUGUCAUAAAUUAAACUUGGAAAAAAAGAAAAAAAACAAAAAAGAAAGGUAAGGAAGGUAGACCAGGAGAGGGGAAGAAUGAGAGGAGGGAUUAAAUCAUUCCUUACCAGUGGAAGAUUCAUUACACAAUAAUUUAAACAGACAUAUACACUAUAAAGCACAAUCUACAAGUGACUUCCUCUCUACAAAUUCAAUUUCUUCUUCACCAAAUAGUAUUUACUAAAUAUAUUUAGAAAUGUCAUUAAUUAAACCAGGACAACAAAAAGAAAAUCCAGGUAUUUGAAUACAGUCAUGCAGAGUCCUCCACUGCGUAUCGUACAAAUAAGAAAAAGACUGAUAACAUGGCAGCUGGAGUAAUAACCUAGAUACAGGCUUUACACUUCAAGCCUAGCCCCAGAAGAAAUUUAAAAACAAAUAAAAAUCAUGUUAAAUGAACUAUCUCAUGUUUAAAAUAGCAUGUUUAUGAACCUAUUUUCUUUGUAUAUAUUAAGCAUGAUGUAGAAGAAGGGGUGGAAUGUCAUGGUUUUAUGAUGUUUGGUUACUGGUAUUCCACAUCAUAACAUCAUGUAGUGCACUGAGAGUCAAAGAGUUAAUGCUCUAGUUCCAGGCACCUGUCCAGAAGAGAAGAAGAACUACAUACCCCAGGGGGCUUUGUGGUCAGAGAGGAGAUACAACCUCUGGAAAAGUCAUCUGUUGUCUCUUUCUUCUCUCGGCUCUCAUCCUGACCACACGCGUCGCCUCAGCACUACUAUAAGGCCUAUGGCUUUCAGAUACUCUUUCUCUCAUUAUAUUUGAUUUAUUAGCUUCAAUUCUAAUUACAUUGUAUUAUAGUGUGUUACCUUGCAUUCCAAUACCAUAUUUAGUAAAUUAGUUUGUUUCUCCUCAGAUCAUUGCUGCUGGCUUUUUAAAUUAUUUUGGGGUCCCCUGUUUCCCUUUCCUGGAGGCGUGGAUUUUGUGAAAUCCCUCUGCCCUGCUAGUCAUGGAACUGGGCCGAACCAGCCCAUAAACCGUCAACACAUAGUUACAGAAUAGCCUUAGAAAGCUAAUAUUGAAAUAAUUUCAGUUCCAGGUGCAAUGUCUGACAGAAGCAGUGCAGAUUGAGAGUACAAGGAAAAGAAUAGAUACAGCAAUGUUUUCCUAGACACUUACAUUCUUCCAAAUUUUAUGAUCUGUAAUUCAAAGCCGUCUUGACCCAGAAAUGAUUUUUUUUUUUUUUUUACUAUUUAAUAGGACAUAAAGCAUUUUUCUUGAAAAAAUCUAUCCAAAACAUCUUUAAACACGUGUAAACUUCUAGUGCACAAAAUGUCCUGUGGCAAAUAAUUCAAUGGCUUAACUAUGCUUUGUGUGAAUAAAAUAUUUUUCUUGUUGAUUCUGAAUCUAGCAGCUUUCAUCUUUCACUGCAAAAGAGAGUAAGCAAAAUUUUUCCACUCACACUCCCAUAGAAUCAUAGAAUGGUUUGGGUUGAAAUGGACCUUUAAGAUGAUUUAGUUUUGACAACCCCCCUGCUAUAGGAGGGAGACCUCCCUCUAGACCAGGUUGCUCAAAGACUUGGACUUGUUCCACCAUUACCAUGGGACAGAAACCACUCCUCACACCCUCACCUAGAGCCUCAUGGUCCUGGCAGACAUGGGAAGCCUGACCACCUGUGAAGACUGAGGCAAAGCACUCACUGAGUACCUCAGCUUUUCCUAUGUCUGAGGAAGCCAGCUCCCCAUUACCUUUCAUCAGAGGGGGAACACUCUCCUUGGCUUGUCUCCUCCUUCCUAGGUAUCUGUAAAACCCCUUCUUGUUAUCUUUCACAUCCCUCACCAAGUUCAGCUCCAUCUGUGCCUUGGCUUUCCUCAUCCUAUCUCUACACACAGGGACAACCGCCCUGCAUUCCUCCCAGGAUACACAACCCUGCUUCCACUUCCUGUACAUCUCCCUCUUUUCUCUCAGUUUAAGCUACAGGUCCUUGCACAGCCACAACGGUCGCCUGCCUCCCCUGCUUGACUUCUUCUGCUGGGGGAUGGAGAGCCAUUGCACUCUCAAAAGGGUGUCCUUAAAGAGCUGCCAGCUUUGUUCUGUAUCCAUGCCCUUAAGGAUAGUUUCCCAGGGGAUCCCACUCAGCAGUUUCUCAGGCAGCUGGAUGUUUGCUCUCCUAAAGCACAGGGUCCUAGCUCUGCUUUUUGCCAGGCCCACAUUCUUCCAGAUCACAAACUCCACCAAGGCAUGGUCACUACAGCCCAGGCUGCCUCCAGUCUUAACCUCUCUAAUGCUCUCCUCUGCAUUAGUGAGCACCAGGUCCAGUAAGGCUUCACCUUGGAUAGGUCCAUCUAUUACCUGGACCAGGAAGUUGUCCUCGACAGACUCCAGGAAUCUCCUGGAUUGUCUGCUGCCUGCCAUGUCACCAUCCCAGCAGAUAUCCAGGUAGUUGAAAUCCCCCAUCAGGACAAGAGCCCACGAGUGUGACACCUCCUGCAGCUGAAACAAGAAGGCCUUUUUCACAGCCUCUUCCUGAUCAGGUGGCCUGUAACAGACCCCAACCACCAGAUGCUCUUUACUGGAUGGAUCCUUGAUUUUUACCCACAAGCUCUCAGCCUGACUGUGGCUGUUCCUCAGACACAGCUCUUUGCAAUCGAUCCACUUCCUAACAUAGAGGGCAACUCCACCACCCCUCCUACCCUGUCUAUCCCUUCUGAAAAGCCUGUAGUCCUCAAUCAGGGUAUUCUAAUCAUGCAAUUCAUCCCACUGUGUUUUCAUGAUAGCAAUUAUGUCAUACUUUCCCAAUUGUGCCACGGUUUCUAGCUCCUCCUGUUUAUUUCCCAUGCUGCACACAUUGAUAUAGAGGCACUUCAGCUUAGCUAUUGGUCUCAUUGCCUUCUCAGAGGGGCCCUCCCUAAUACCUUCAGGACAAGCCUGGGGUUUUCCCUUACCACCUCCCAAGGUGACAGUGUUCCAACAUGCUUCUCUGUCUCCUAGUACACCCCCUUCCCCCAUCAUGUCUAGUUUAAAGCCCUGCUAACCAGCUGAGCCAGCUUGUUCCCAAGAAUAUUUGUGGCCCCUCUAGUCAGUUGGCUCUCAUCCACUGUCAGCAUUCCCCCUUUCUCAAGGCUGCGUCCCAAGCCAUAGUACCCAAAGCCCUGAGCAUGACACCAUUUGCAAAGCCAUUCAUUCAGUGUGUCCACCCUCUUCCUUUUGUGCAGAUCCCAGUCACCAACUGAGAGGACAGAGGAGAACACAACUUGUGCUCCCAAUCCCCUUAGAAGUCUUCCCAGAGCCCUGAAGUCCCUUUUGAUUGCCCAAGGACUUCUUUUGCCUACCUCUUCCUUUCCAAUGUGAAAAACCAGUAAUGGAUAAUAAUAAUCAGAGGGCUUAAUGAAGUGAGUGAUGUUCCUAGCACCAUCUCUCACCUGGGCACCAGGCAGGCAACACACCUUCCUGUGGGAUGGAUCCAAGCGGCAUAUUGGGCCCUCGGUUCCCCUCAGAAGGGAGUCCCCUAUGAUGACAUCCCUUCUUUUUUUCCUGACUGACAUAGCAAAACAGCAAGCAGACUGACUAGCAUUGGUCAACCUCUCCUGCACAGAUGGAUUUUCACCAACAUCCACAGCCCCCAGUCCCUCCAGCUCCAGAGCCUCAUACCUGUUACGUAAGGGCACCUGGGAAGGUGGGACAGGCUGAGGGGCAGUCCACUUGUUGCCCCAAACAGGGACUUGUUUCCAUCCCUUGCUGCAUUUGAGGUCGUCCCCUUCCCACCUGACUGUGAGACAGCAGAUGAUCCCCCACUGCUUGAAGAGCAUCUUCCCCCACACCCUUCCUGUAGGGAUGGCAGAGUGCAACUCCAUCAACCAAUCCCCUUCUCACAAUCCCAGAUGCUCCUUAGCCUUUCUAUUUCCUCCUUUAGCUCUACCACCAGGCUGAGCAGAUCCUCCACCUGCUCACACCGCACACAGGUGGUAUCCCGGCUGCCCUCCUGUACCAGUGACAGGACCAGGCAUUCUCCACAGCCUGAGACCUGAACUGCAGCAUGGACAUUCAUGCUUUCAGUCUGAGUCUCCACGUUCCUUUAGCAACAGCUCACCUCCAUAUGGUGACCAUGGUUGAAACUUGGUGUGUCCAGAGAGCAUUGACCUGUUAAGUGACCUGUUAAGUGCUAAGUGCUAAGCCCCUCCUAUACAGCAAGGUGCCCCGCCCUGCCUGCUCACUGAUUCGCUUGGGGUUUGCCCUGAAAAUCACUCUCAACAAGAUAACAACUCACCUCCCUGUGUAGCCAUGCAAAUAGGUGGCUUACUGUUUCAACCUCAGCCCUCUGGUCAUCUUCUUGGCCCUCCUCUGGACCCACUCCAACAGCUUGAUGUCCUUCUUGUGUUGGGACCCUAGAAAUGGAUGCAGUACUCUAGGUGGGGUCUCAGAAGAGCAGAGUAGAGGGACAGAAUCA
rnacentral:lncRNA from 1 species